GAGCGGACUUGUUCCGUGACGGCGUACCUUUUGUAUAAUGGGUCAGCGACUUAUGUUCAGUGGCGAGGUUAACCGUUUAGGGGAGCCGUAGGGAAACCGAGUCUGAAUAGGGCGAUUUAGUCGCUGGGCAUAGACCCGAAACCGGGCGAUCUAUCCAUGAGCAGGUUGAAGGUUGAGUAACAUCAACUGGAGGACCGAACCCACUGUCGUUGAAAAGCCAGGGGAUGACUUGUGGAUCGGAGUGAAAGGCUAAUCAAGCCCGGAGAUAGCUGGUUCUCCCCGAAAGCUAUUUAGGUAGCGCCUCGGACGAAUACUACUGGGGGUAGAGCACUGUUAAGGCUAGGGGGUCAUCCCGACUUACCAACCCGAUGCAAACUCCGAAUACCUGUGAGUACUAUCCGGGAGACACACGGUGGGUGCUAACGUCCAUCGUGAAGAGGGAAACA
rnacentral:rRNA from 1 species